rnacentral:rRNA from 1 species
GCGGUUCUAUUUUGUUGGUUUCUAGGACCGCCGUAAUGAUUAAUAGGGAUAGUCGGGGGCGUCAGUAUUCAGCUGUCAGAGGUGAAAUUCUUGGAUUUGCUGAAGACUAACUACUGCGAAAGCAUUCGCCAAGGAUGUUUUCAUUAAUCAGGGAACGAAAGUUAGGGGAUCGAAGACGAUCAGAUACCGUCGUAGUCUUAACCAUAAACUAUGCCGACUAGGGAUCGGGCGGCGUUUCUUUUAUGACCCGCUCGGCACCUUACGAGAAAUCAAAGUUUUUGGGUUCUGGGGGGAGUAUGGUCGCAAGGCUGAAACUUAAAGAAAUUGACGGAAGGGCACCACAAGGCGUGGAGCCUGCGGCUUAAUUU